rnacentral:lncRNA from 1 species
GCAGGAGAAAGUCGAGCUUGCUUAGGCACUCAAUCAUCUCGAUCAUGUACAAUACAUGAUCAGUGACUGAUGCUUCUUUCCUCAUUCGAGCGUUGAAGAUGGUACAACUAGUCUUGUACCUCUCAACAUCAUCGGGUGUGUCAAAGGACUCGUUCAAUAUUUGCAAUAUGUUCUGUGGCAGAAUAUUCUCGAAAUGAUGGCUGAACUCAUCAUUCAUUGCCGCCAGCAUAAUACAACAAACCGUAG